rnacentral:lncRNA from 1 species
AUAAAGUAACCCAACACUCUGUCCUUCCAGAACAAACACAACAAAUGCCCAUUGCUAAGAGGCAGCAGUAACUCCUUAGGGAGCUGUUUCCUGUCUGAAUAUAUUGUUACUGGGAUGACUCAGGGGCUGCUUCACAAGAUGCAGGAAAAAUUCCCCAUCUGUAUUCUGAUUGCAGCUGGACUAUUGGAUUUAUCCGGUGCCUCCAGGAACGAACAUCAUGGCAGUGAAGUAUUAGGCCUGAGCUUUCCUGGGGAAGCACAAGCAAGAGCUGAGAUCAGCCCAGUGCCCAGCGAAGUGUUUUCCAUUACAGAAGAUAGCUCGGAUGAGGUGACCUUAAAUUUUCAGAGUGCAGCAGUUGAUCCUGCCAAUGACACAACAGUUGACUUCAUUCCUGUCCAUACAGGGACAGCUGCAAGAAGAACAGCCGAGCUGCCGAAGGAGUUGGUUACAAACUUGGAGGUGCCUGAGCAACUGCAGACAGAAGCAGCCACUUUAAAACUCCAGGCUGGACACACAUUUCCUAGCAAGCUCUUGAGUAGCAUAAGCAUGUCUGUCUCCACACCAGGAUCACAGGCUACCACACAUCUGGAACAUCCAGACAGGUCACUGCAAGGAAAACCAAAAAAUAUUCCUGGGGCUGGUUCCAGUCCCACCAGCUCUGGCACUGGGCUGCCCCAGCCCUUUCUCAGUGGAGGGACUCAUCAAGACUCUCCCCAGUUUACAGCUGUCUCUUCCAUUCCUGUUAUCAAGCAGAUGGAGGUGCCAAGUCCUACAACAUCUCUUCUGACUUCUGUGGUAAAUUUUCAUUCUCCAAGAAAAGAAAUAGAAGCGUCUCCAUUUCCCACAGGAGUUAGGAUUGCUCUUGAAGGUGCAAGCGUGGAUUGGUUACCAAGAGGAAUGCCUCUCACUACCAAAAGGCCAAAAGACACAAAUCCACAAGUCCAGCCUGACAGCAAAGCCGUUGUGACACCUGCAUACCCAAAGAAGACUCAGAGUAUGGAUGCUAAAGGUACAACUUCUGCAUUCCUACAAAAGCCAGCUUCAGGGGACCUUGAUGCAGUCCAUUCCAGAAUGACACAGACAAGUGCUAUUCGUCUUUCCCCUAUUUUCUCUGGCAAUAAAGCCAGAAACUCAACAACAGCUGUAAUAAAUGGUUCUGGAUACCCAACCCAGUUGCCCGCUCUUCAGUCACUCCCACAAGGCAACGUACUUUCUUCUUCACUAUUGAUACAUCUGGAAGCUCUAGUUCGUGAUGACUUACUUCCAUCUCCAUUUCAAGGGCCCAUCAGCACAACUGAUAGACAGCAGCCCCUCUCUUCGUCCCGGACUCUCAACUGUACUAAACAACAUGUUUCCCAAAAAAACAACAGCAGCUAUCAAGAAAUUGCAGUUCUGGUUUUGCAAAGAGAUACUGAUCAUCAGAUGAUGACAAGUAAACCUGAAAAACCCAGAUCCCCUGAGAGCCCGCAGGCUUCUGCUAAUUCAUCCUCAUUAGGCCAGUCAUGGAUUUCCACAUUAAAACUUUCCCAAACUACUAAAGAGCUGAAAGGAGUAACAUCUGCACUCUUUCCAGGUACAUCUACCUUUGAGAACGCGGUCCUUCAGCCUGUAAGCACUUUUGAUCCUGUUCAUGCUUCCACCCACCAGCCACCAGGUACAUCUCUUCCUGCUUACGCUGGAUUGCAGCUAAUGGGCAUCCCCACCUCUGAGAGAGGACUUCAUAUACCAACUUCAUCCAUGUCUGCUGGUUCUGUGUCUCGGGUUCAAGGCAUUUCUGCCCACCCUGUAUCUCUGGAAGCCUUCCCUGUGAUGUUGCAGAUGAGCACGGUGGAAGACUCCAAGGGAAAGAAAAGUCUCCCACAACAGACAGGUAAAACCGGUUCUUCCCCACUGACUCCACAAGCCAGCCCAGUCCCUGGCCCCUCUGGACUGCGUGACAGUGUGAACCAGAAAGUUCCUCUUCACAGCUUUGCCCCUUCAGCCUCCCAGAUCCAGCAGGCUGGCAGCCUGGCAGCUUUUGCCUCAAAACUGCCCUCACUCCAUGAACAGGGAAGCCAGUCCAGCUCGACAACAGCGCAUCCUGAACCGAUGGUGCCCGGUGUUUCUGAUGAGAUCCCAGCGUAUCUGGCACAAGCACUAGUGCAGCAGUUUGGUAUGUCACAUGACACAGCUCCCAAAAACCUCAGUGCUUUUAGAGGCGAUCACCUUAGAGUGCUUACAUCCCCAUUCCUGUCCUUUCUGCUUAAAAGUGCCAAUGGCAUGAUAUGCCUGCAGCCCAUGCAAGAUUCCCCUUUACCUACAAAAUUCCAAAAUACCAGUGCUGGGGGUCUGGUUUCCAUUCAGCAAAUCCUGGCAGCAUCAAAUUCUUCAGUGCUGGACCUUGCAAACUUUCAAAAUCUGACUCCUCCUAGCUUAAUUCUGGUUAAGCCUGUGUUUAUACUUCUGCCAGUUGACGGACCAGAUUUACAGGUGGUGCCCUCUCCUGAGGGUAAAGAUGACCACAAAACUGCCCUCUUGUUCACAAACCAGAAAGAUCUCAGUUCGGGUACACCUGAAAGCAGCCAUGAUAUCCUGAUGAAAACUAGUUCCUCUUAUCCCACUAGUAAGUCUUCAAGGUCUGAAACUACUCUCUCCACUGCAUCUAACCAACUUUCUGCAGAGAAAGCAGAAGUAACUUCUCAGCCAGUGCUAGCUAAUCCUAACUAUACAGCCAUCACUAGUUUGUUUCCAGCUUUUACCUCAGCAUCAAAUCAUUUGCUGGGCCCACAGAUGAGAAUUGGCACUACGGUGCAGGCCGUGCAUCUGCACAGGCUGCCUGAAGAGGUGCAGGUACCUGCGCCCAGUUCCCAAGGUGCCAGGGGGACUGAUUUGCUUUUACUUGACAGUGUGUUGGCAGAGCCUUUCACCUCCACCGCGCCACCAUUUGUGGUGUCUGCACAGCAUAGCCACCGUAUUUCCCCUGGAGUAUUUUUCACUGCUGGAAAGCCACAUUCUUCUGUCAUUCCUUUACUGUCAGCAAAGAGGCUCCCUGAUUUUCAAAUGCCUGCCCGACCUCCACUUACUGUCACAGAGGCUGUAGAUGAGAUGCAGCACAGUCAGAAACUAAUGCUGCAAACUACCGGCCAUCACCAAGGCUUGGUGACGACACCUUCCCCUGUCCGUGCGCACUGCACGGAGUGUUUGCCUUGGCACUCAGCUAGAACCAUAAAAUACCCAUUAAAGAGGGUCACAAGCAUCGUGCCUUUGCAGUCCACAUCACAAAGUCUCCGAAGUACUGAGUCACUCCAAAGGCUGCCGACCCAAGUUCACUUUAUACCCAGCACAUCAUCAGCUUUCUCAGUGCUUCCAGCUGGAAAUGAUGGCAGAGAUCCAGCAGUGGGCAGCACGACCUGUUCAGGAGGAGUCGCUGUGUGUGCUAAAGAAGCACGAACCUUCACCUCUUCUGUAAAACCUGAUCUUGCUAAACAUUUGGAAUUUACUCCCGUUAUGCCUAAGCCCUUUACAGUGACAGAGAGACCAACAACAGCACCGGUGCAUACUUCACCUUCAACAAAGGGCCAAAUGAAAACAGCAGCUUCUGGGAAACUUCUGGCUACGAUUGCCCAUCCAAGGAUGUUUAUCAGCUCUCCUGCAAGUCCUGCUUCACCUGUGUCUACACGUGUUUCCCUGCUGUCAGCCACAAAACAUGACCAAAUCCAUCGAGCCCCUACUAAACUGUUGUCACAGGCCAAUGUGGGAGAAAAUGCAAAGCCAACUGAAAUCAGCACAAGUGCAAGAAAAAUAGGAACCAGUAAGUUCCUGGGAACAAGCGUGUCUCUGUCAGCCAUGUUUAACACGAGGACGCAGCAAACCCCCCCAGCAGAUCUUGGGAAUAAGGUCAAUUUAACUCUGCUACAACCACCGGUGUCUGCAGGAUCUGUUAUUGCUCUUGAGAGACAGCCUGAAUUGUCCCAGACCACAGCACAGCCUCCCUUAGCCACGACUUCUCU